ensembl:snRNA
ACUGUCCUUGUCUCGGGGUGGCUCGGGAGGUUCAAUGAACGUCUAGUGAGAACGUCCCUGCUAACACCAGACCAACACUUUCGCGCCACCGGGGCGGAAACGUCCGGGAUUCGGUGCAAUUUUUGGAAAA